CCUACGGGAGGCAGCAGUGAGGAAUAUUGGUCAAUGGACGAGAGUCUGAACCAGCCAAGUAGCGUGAAGGAUGACUGCCCUAUGGGUUGUAAACUUCUUUUAUAUGGGAAUAAAAUGUUCCACGUGUGGGCUUUUGUAUGUACCAUAUGAAUAAGGAUCGGCUAACUCCGUGCCAGCAGCCGCGGUAAUACGGAGGAUCCGAGCGUUAUCCGGAUUUAUUGGGUUUAAAGGGAGCGUAGGUGGAUUGUUAAGUCAGUUGUGAAAGUUUGCGGCUCAACCGUAAAAUUGCAGUUGAAACUGGCAGUCUUGAGUGCAGUAGAGGUGGGCGGAAUUCGUGGUGUAGCGGUGAAAUGCUUAGAUAUCACGAAGAACUCCGAUUGCGAAGGCAGCUCACUGGACUGCAACUGACACUGAGGCUCGAAAGUGUGGGUAUCAAACAGGAUUAGAUACCCUUGUAGUC
rnacentral:rRNA from 1 species